rnacentral:rRNA from 1 species
UAAGCGAAUAGUGAAAGAGUGAGGCUCAACCUCAUAGACAUUAUUCGAACUAUCAAACUAGAGAACGAGAGAGGUGGCGAGAAUUCUUGGUGUAGGAGUGAAAUCCGUAGAUAUCAAGAGGAAUACCAAUGGCGUAGGCAGGCCACUGGCUCGUUUCUGACACUGAGGCACGAAAGCGUGGGAGCAAACGGGACUAGAUACCCCGGUAGUCCACGCCGUAAACUAUGGAUGCUA